GGCUGCUCUGAAGGUAGUGAGUUAUCUCAAUUGAUUAUAGAUCAAACUCUUUGUUCUGCUCUUUCCCCUCUUCUCAUUACUGCACUUGAGUAGUCUUAA
ensembl:Y_RNA Y_RNA Y RNA